CCUACGGGUGGCAGCAGUAGGGAAUAUUGCUCAAUGGGGGAAACCCUGAAGCAGCAACGCCGCGUGGAGGAUGAAGGUUUUCGGAUUGUAAACUCCUUUUGUUAGAGAAGAUAAUGACGGUUUCUAACGAAUAAUCACCUGCUAACUCCGUGCCAGCAGCCGCGGUAAUACGGGGGGUGCAAGCGUUACUUGGAAUCACUGGGCGUAAAGAUCGCGUAGGCGGGAUAGCAAGUCAGAUGGGAAAUCCUAUGGCUUAAACAUAGAACUGCACUGGAAACUGUGAAUAUAGAGUAUGGGAGAGGUAGGGGGAAAUCUUGGUGGAGGGGGAGAAGCC
rnacentral:rRNA from 1 species